AAACCGUUACCAUUACUGUGCU
rnacentral:miRNA from 1 species